UACGGAGGGUGCAAGCGUUAUCCGGAUUUACUGGGUUUAAAGGGUGCGCAGGCGGAUAUGUAAGUCAGUGGUGAAAUCUCUGGGCUUAACCCGGAAAUUGCCAUUGAUACUAUAUAUCUUGAAUGCUGUGGAGGUAAGCGGAAUAUGUCAUGUAGCGGUGAAAUGCUUAGAGAUUACAUGGAAUACCAAUUGCGAAGGCAGGUUACUACUAAUGGAUUGACGCUGAUGGACGAAAGCGUGGGGAGCGAACAGG
rnacentral:rRNA from 1 species